GGAACUGACCCCACCCCAUCUGUCUACGAUUACGUCAAUUUCCUCCCACCAGCUGUGGUUUUCAAUGACUGCACGACUAAGAUAUGACCCAAGAGGGCGAAGCAGACUGAUAGAGACAUCUAUGAGAGGCCUCCUGGCUUCUAAGGAGACAGAGUAAGAAAAAGUCUAUUUUAUGUCUUUUGACACUUGUAUAUCUGAAAUCACACAACCUUCCUGCUCCCAGGAAGAGAACCAGCCGGGGAAUCAAGCUGAUCGUUGAGUGAAGAGCCCGAGUAAAGAGCUGUGACCACCCAGGCCAUUGAUCAGAUUGCCAGGAGCCCAGCCAAACUCCAGAAUCAGCCCAGCCCCAACAAACAUCAGACUGUAAAAGGUACCAGUGAUUUUCUGAUGGUGGAGAAUAUGAUGAAAGUCACAGAGCAUGGCCAGGAGCCCUUCACCUCACCAGGUGCUGCACAGUCAACGAGAAGUCACACCUGAAAGGACAAGAUAUCUGUGGAGGCUAGAGAAAUUGAAUCUCCUGGAACUGCUGCCGGAUAUGGAUACUGGGAACCAAACUUGUGUCCUCUGCAAAAGCACCCCAGGAUAUCUUAUUAUAAGUAUGUGAAUAUUUCAAAAUCUAAAAAAAGAAAAUCAGAAACUCUUCUGGUCCUGAGCAUUUUGCAAAAGGGAUGCUCAGCCUCUGUGAAUGAAGAUCUAAGCUUCAAACCCAUCAAUGUUUUACAAUGGUGGCUUGUCUUGGAGAUGGUCUCAUGACACAAGGGGCGAAGCAGGCUUCCCGUGUGUUUCAUCCUUAACAUCCAGGUCCUGGGCCUCUGACUCAGGCCAUCAAGUUUGGUGGAGGUGCUGUGACCUGUGGAUCCGUCUCACAAGCCCCAUUCCGAAUCCUUACAGCACAGAGAUGAGUAAUACUCAGAAAGUGAGUUGCGCGUCCUGUGGAUUCUGUAAAGCCACAGGUGGAGAAAACGUUUUAACAAGUUUGUUACAGUGAGCGCUUAACAAAUGUGCCCUGUCUCCCCCGACUUUUAAACUUUAUCAUUUUGUUUUUUUGAGACAGUCUUGCUAUGUAGACCAAUCUGUAUUUGAGUUUGACAUUCUCCUGCCUCAGACUCUCCAGUGCUGGGAUUACAGCCCAGAUAUAUAACUGAUUUAUUCAUGUGCUAAUAAAAUAAUGAAU